UUUACUAAGAUGUUUUUUAGUGGCGGACGGGUUAGUAACACGUGAGCAACCUGCCUCGAAGUGGGGGAUAGCCUUUCGAAAGGAAGAUUAAUACCGCAUAUGGUCUAAGGACCAAAGGCGCCUUCGGGUGUCGCUUUGAGAUGGGCUCGCGGCCUAUCAGCUAGUUGGUGAGGUAAAGGCUCACCAAGGCAACGACGGGUAGCUGGUCUGAGAGGAUGAUCAGCAACACUGGAACUGAGACACGGUCCAGACACCUACGGGUGGCAGCAGUCGAGAAUCAUUCACAAUGGGGGAAACCCUGAUGGUGCAACGCCGCGUGGAGGAUGAAGGCCUUACGGUCGUAAACUCCUGUCAUAAUAGAGUAAGGCAUAUUAGGUUAAGAGCUAGAUAUGUUUGAUAGUAUAUUAAGAGGAAGGGACGGCUAACUUCGUGCCAGCAGCCGCGGUAAUACGAAGGUCCCGAGCGUUAUUCGGAAUCACUGGGCGUAAAGAGUACGUAGGCGGUUUGGUAAG
rnacentral:rRNA from 1 species